GUUGGGUGCAGUAGUGUGCGCCUGUAAUCCCAGCAGCUCGGGAGGCUGAGACAAGAGGAUUGUGAGUUCAAAGCCAGCCUCAGCAAAAGCAAGGCACUGAACAACUCAGCGGAACCCUGUCUCUA
rnacentral:sRNA from 1 species